AGCAUAUUAAGGAGUAGUAGAUUGAAACGGCAUAAAGAGAGCUGGUGGUUGGUGCAAACCAGUAUGCACGUCAAUCGAACUCGCCUUUGAAAAAUUAUGCAGGGAGACCUUUAUCAAAAUUAAGAGGGCUUUUCGCCAAUUAGGGUGGUACCGCGGGUUCCCCGUCCCUAAG
rnacentral:ncRNA from 1 species